rnacentral:rRNA from 1 species
UACGAAGGGGGCUAGCGUUGCUCGGAAUCACUGGGCGUAAAGGGCGCGUAGGCGGCUCAUGAAGGCUGUGGUGAAAGUCCGGGGCUCAACCUCGGAUCGGCCGUGGCGACUCGUGGGCUGGAGCACUGUAGAGGCGGGUGGAAUUCCGGGUGUAGCGGUGGAAUGCGUAGAGAUCCGGAAGAACACCGGUGGCGAAGGCGGUUCUCUAGUACGGUACUGACGCUGAGACGCGAAAGCGUGGGGAGCGAACAGG